rnacentral:rRNA from 1 species
UGGGGAAUAUUGCACAAUGGGCGCAAGCCUGAUGCAGCCAUGCCGCGUGUGUGAAGAAGGCCUUCGGGUUGUAAAGCACUUUCAGCGAGGAGGAAGGUGGUGAGCUUAAUACGCUUAUCAAUUGACGUUACUCGCAGAAGAAGCACCGGCUAACUCCGUGCCAGCAGCCACGGUAAUACGGAGGGUGCAAGCGUUAAUCGGAAUUACUGGGCGUAAAGCGCACGCAGGCGGUUUGUUAAGUCAGAUGUGAAAUCCCCGGGCUCAACCUGGGAACUGCAUUUGAAACUGGCAAGCUAGAGUCUCGUAGAGGGGGGUAGAAUUCCAGGUGUAGCGGUGAAAUGCGUAGAGAUCUGGAGGAAUACCGGUGGCGAAGGCGGCCCCCUGGACGAAGACUGACGCUCAGGUGCGAAAGCGUGGGGAGCAAACA